AUGAAGCCAUGGCUGUAUCAGCUUCAUCAUUAAUUGGAGUACGUAUCAUACGAAGUAGAUAUCUCUUUGUUCGGAAUCCUUUAGGAGAAGCUGCGGAAUUACCGGGACUAGUACGUGCAACUACAAGGCAACAUUAAGACGGUGGUGCAUGGAAUUGAAGAGACCAAAUCAAUCGAACGUUGCUGGGCGUCUUAGAACAAUGCAGGUUAUACACAAACAGAGUCGAAACGAUCUGAAAAGGGGCGCUAUCAAUGUUUUCCCAGAAUAAGUACACUCGGUCACCAUGGUUUUUACGGGUAACGGAGAUUAAGGGGUCGAUUCUGGAGAGGGAGCCUUAGAAACGGCGACCACGUCCAAUGAAGGAAGCAGGCG
rnacentral:ncRNA from 1 species